CUCGAACAUGUACGGUUCCACUGCAGUCUGUUGUCCGGCAGCCAUUCCUCCCACAAACUCAACCAUUGCCAUGGUCACAGGAUGCUGUCCUCCUGUCUUCCGCAAGGCAGGAAGAGAACAGCUCCGAUUAGUUUUUCCAUCCAUCACUGGACAGCUGAAGCUGCGAGACCGGGGAGUUCCCAUGAUAACUACAUAAUCACUGGCAACCGCAGUUAUAGCUGAAUUGUUGCGCAAUGCAGCGGAGCCAGUGGAAGUUAAUAUAUAUACACUGCUGCUGUGGCAGAGUCGUGAUGGAGCGGAGCUGGACCGGACACAUUCCUGGGAGAAUUUAGGGGUAAGUGCUGUGUUAGAGGCAACUUGAUGUGUUUCCAUUUCUUCAAGAUGUUUCACCUCUCAUCCAAGAGGCUUCUUCUGUUCUCACUAACCGGAGGGGAGUUGUAAACUAUUUGAGAUGUCCUUAA